AAGCACAUUUUAUUCAGUAGCUAUACCAAUUGUAGCUAUGUAACAAGUAGAAAUGCAUGCACGUGUGAAUGAGAGACAUAAAUAAUAGUUUGUCCAUUUCAACAUUACUCAUAGAGCCAAGAACUCUAACAUAAGUUUCUGUCAACAAUGAAAUGGAUAAAUACAUGGUGGUAUAAUGACACAAUGAAACACUAUACAGCAGUGAAUGAGUUUGGCAAACACAACAUUGAGCAAAAAAUGCCAUACACAAAAAAUGUAUACUGUAUACCUGGUAGUUUUGGGGAGCAGAAAGGUAGGUACUGAUUAGGAGAACAAAAAGCACAUUUCCGUUGUGCUAGUAAUUUUUUUUUUAAUUAGAUUUCAUUUCAAAAGUGUUUGCUUUUUAGUAGUAAAACUACUUUUCAGUAAAAAAAAGUAAAGGAGCUGUACCUUUACUUUUGUGCAUUUUUCCUAUUUUUAUAUGUCAAUAAAGUUUAAUUAAUGACUCUUACCUAUGCAUAUAUAUACACAUGGCUAAAAUAAGUUAGUAUUAAAAAUAUGAAAGCCUGCCAUACUUUGGAUGGUGAACAUCUGUUCUGUAUCAUUACUGAAAAUGAAAAAAAAAAAACUAUGUUUAAAAUUCCACUUAUAGAUCUUGAAAUUGAAAUGUAGAAGUAUGUCCAGUUGAUGAUAAGUAUCAUUGUGAAGAAUUGCUAACAAGGCUAUAGACCACUUAUUUUGGGGGGCAGGUGGCAAGCAUGUAAUCAUAG
rnacentral:lncRNA from 1 species